UAUAUUUUGUAUGUAAUUUUUUGAAAAUUAUGGGGGUAUAUAGUUAGUACCAAAUGCAUUGGGCUACA
rnacentral:tRNA from 1 species